rnacentral:rRNA from 1 species
UACAGAGGUCUCAAGCGUUGUUCGGAUUCAUUGGGCGUAAAGGGUGCGUAGGUGGCGUGGCAAGUCUGAUGUGAAAUCCCGGGGCUCAACCCCGGAACUACAUUGGAUACUGCCAUGCUUGAGCACUGGAGAGGAGACUGGAAUUUACGGUGUAGCAGUGAAAUGCGUAGAUAUCGUAAGGAAGACCAGUGGCGAAGGCGAGUCUCUGGACAGUUGCUGACACUGAGGCACGAAGGCCAGGGGAGCAAACGGG